CUUGGGCUCAGGCUUAGGCUCCGGUAUCGGCAUCGGUUCGGGCUUUGGUUCUGGCUAGGGCUCAGGCUUAGGCUCAGGUUUUGGUUUUGGCAUGGGCUCAGGUUUUGGUUCAGGCUUAGGCUCCGGCUUAGGCUCAGGCUUAGGUUUUGGUUCUGGCUUGGGCUCCGGUUUUGGCAGUGGUUCAGGCUUGGGCUCAGGCUCGGGUUUUGGUUCAGGCUUAGGCUCAGGUUUUGGCUUUGGCUCAGGCUUUUUUGGCUUUGGCUUUGGUUCAGGCAUAGGCUUGGGCAUCGGUUCGGGUUUGGGCUUUGGCUCUGGCUUCGUUAUGGGUUUAGGUUGAGGCUCAGGUUUAGGUUCAGGUUUCGGCGAAGGCUCUGGAUGAGGCUCAGUUUUUGGCUCUGGACGUGGCUUGGGCUCUGGUUUAGGUUCAGGUUUGGGCUCUGGCUGUGGCAGGGGCUGCGGCUGAGGCUGGGGUUCCGGUUUGGGUUGUGGCUCCGGCUGCGGCAGCUCGGCGGCAGCACGUCCAUGCUUGCGCGCGAAGCGGCCGCCAUGGCCAAGCCCGACGCCGGCAGCCGCCGCUUCGUCGACGAAGAAG
rnacentral:lncRNA from 1 species